rnacentral:lncRNA from 1 species
AUGGAUCAAUCUGCCAGCCCACACAGUGCAGUUCAGAGGCUGGGGGGGAACUGGAUGGUGCCUGCAGCCCCCACUGCCCACUCAGGGCACAAAGUGGCCACAUCUGCCCAUAAAACCAUCCUGAGCCGCUGGUCUGAAGCUGCCCAGUUUGGGAACAGGAGCAGGAAUGGGGCUGGAGGGAUUUCCUGCCCACUCAGGGACCUGCAGCAGCCAAACUGGUCUGGUGGUGGCUUCUGUUCUCAAGCUGGGAGACAGAAAUGCCAAAGGAAUGCUGGAGUUCAGGGCUCUGAUGUUCCUUUCUUUGUGUUUAUUAUGCUGAACGCUAAAAGCUUAAUAUCUUCCUGGCCUAAGAGCCCAAAGAAUUUCUUUCUUGCCUUUAAUUUCCAAUUAGCUGAGCCUCUCAAGCCUCCCAGCUCUGCCCCUGAGGCUGUGUUAUCAUCCCACCCUCCGUGCAGAGGAGCUUCCGAAAUGGAUGGAACUAAUCAUCCUGGAAAAACUCCGGCUGCAUUUCCAGGCUCUGGCUGCAAAAGUGGAGCCUGGAUUUCAAAUCCUGCAGCGACAAAUGGAUUAUUUCGGUGGCAAAUUGCUCCCUGGGGAGCAACAAUUUGGGGAGCUGAAGGCUGGAACUGGGAAGCAGCAGAUCAAUUCCCUCACUUAGCCAAGGUUAAUGCCCUGCAAACUGCCCUGAGUGCAGCAGGGAAGGAGAACUCGGCUCUGCCUGUCCGAGGGGAGCCUCAGGAAUGUGUCAGAGGGAAAAGGGGGAAGUUUGGAAUGAGGGAAGCCCACGGAUUUGCUGGUAAAACCUGGGGGUUGUUUCUGUGGGAUUUGACUAAAAGAAGUGGAACUGGUAUCUCCAAAAAGGAGGCUGUGAGCAGUAGUGGAAGUGGCAGUUCCCAUACCUGUCACCUCCUGCCUAACCCAAACAUCAUGGACAGCAUCCCAAAAUUCCUGGUUUCACAUAAAGGACCUUCUCAGUUUGGACACUCUUAUUCUCCCCAAUGA